GACGAACGCUGGCGGCGUGCUUAACACAUGCAAGUCGAACGGAAAGGCCCUGCUUGCAUUGUACUCUAGUGGCGAACGGGUGAGUAACACGUGGGUGAUCUGCCCUGCACUUCGUGCUACUCUUUGGCAACUUGGUCUAAUACCUGAUAGGAGCCAUCCUUAGUGUGGUGGUUGGAAAGUUUUUUCGGUGUAGGAUGAGCUCGCGGGCUAUCAGCUUGUUGGUGGGGUAAUGGCCUACCAAGGCGGCGACGGGUAGCCGGCCUGAGAGGGUGUACGGGAACAGUGGGACAGAGAUACGGCCCAGAGUCGUACGGGAGGCAGCAGUGGGGAAGAUUGCACAAUGGGCGCAAGCCUGAUGAAGGGAGGCCGCGUGGGGGAUGAAGGCCUUCGGGGUGUAAGAUCCUUUCGCUAGGGACGAAGCUUUUUUGUGACGGUACCUAGAUAAGAAGCACCGGCUAACUACGUG
rnacentral:rRNA from 1 species